rnacentral:rRNA from 1 species
UACGUAGGGUGCAAGCGUUAAUCGGAAUUACUGGGCGUAAAGGGCGCGUAGGUGGUUGGGCAAGUCUGGUGUGAAAUCUCCGAGCUCAACUCGGAAAUGGCAUCGGAUACUAUCUGGCUAGAGGAGUGGAGGGGGGACUGGAAUACUUGGUGUAGCAGUGAAAUGCGUAGAUAUCGAGUGGAACACCAGUGGCGAAGGCGGCGAGCUGGGAAGAUACUGACGCUGAGGUGCGAAAGCGUGGGGAGCAAACAGG